AGGCCCGUGCCGCUGCAGCCGUGGCAGGCUGGCGGAGCUGCAGUGCCACCACCACUGGACACGUGGCAGGCCACCACAACCAUUUCGCCGCUGCUGCCUGACCCAUGGCUGCCUGCCGGUGCUGCAACGCCGCCACCACUGGGCCUGUGGUUGGCCACCUGAACUUUCUCACUGUUGGACUUGUGUCGGGCCGCCAACAUCACCGCCUGCCGGCUUGGCCAACUGGACUGUUUCAAACCCCCGCCAGGAGCGCGGCCAGGUAUUUGAACUAUUAAACUGGGACUUGUUUUUUGUUUUUUGGCUGGAGUGUUUCUGGCCCUCCAUCCUGUACCUCCCACCACCCGACCCGGGUUGGUUGGCCUUGCUGCUGGUUUUGUUUUCGGGUUGUUGUUGUUUUUUUGGGGCCUCAGGAGCCAGCCCUUAGAGGGGGGGUACUGUCAUGGCCUGGGUCUGGUGACCCAGAGCUCAUGUAUUACUUGUAUAUGUUUUUCCGUAUGUUAUGUUUUUGGUGGUUUUCUCUCCCUUUGUCCUUUCUCCCUGUGUUCUCCCGGAUGUUUUGGGGUCGCUGAGGGGACUGCGACCCGGAAGUGUUCCCGCACUGGAGGCUGCCGCACCUGCCGCUCAUUAGCCUUCCCCAGCUGCAGCUGAUAGCCUCAUGAGGAGCGUCUUAUUUAAGAAGGUGGCGGAGCUCCAGUUGACGCGGGAUUAUACUAAGUCGAACCUGAGUCAGGAACGUUGUCACAAGGGGAAUCAUGGAGUGGAAUCGGGUUUUAGGAGUUGUCACCUUUUCACUGUUAUGGACACGUGCACUGUGUGGGCUUCAUAGAGGAAUCGACACAGGAGUCACAGUGCUGGAAUUGAAACGAACGACACGGAGAGAUGGAAGGAGAGACGUCACUAGUUCACGAGAGCUGUGUGGACACACGAGGGGAGCACUGAAGGGACUUUGCACUGUGGAUAACUGUGGAUUGGCUUCACUGUAAAUAAAGACACUGUUCAACUUUAA